AGCCACUUGGCCAUAACCAGAGAACUAAUGCAUGUCAAAGUGAAGGAACUUUUCAAGAAAUGAUUCCAAGAAUAAAGUUUUCAAGUCUUGAUGCCUAUAUACAUGGAUGAUGCUCAGAAAUAAGUGGCACCUUCCUUGUUGAUGUCCUAUAAACUUUGACACAUGGAGAUGGCAACAGA